AAUUAUAUAGUCAAUAAUGAUAUUGAAUUGCAAAUUCAAAGGUGAAAUCUUUUCUGUAAUUU
rnacentral:tRNA from 1 species